CAACUCCGAUGAUGCAUUUGGUGGAGCUACUACACGAAUCGAAAGCUCAGGUGCAUCAUAAUACUGACUGAUACGAAUAGGGAAUUUCCGAGCGAUGGCAUCUUUUAAAUCGUCAACCAGAUGAUCUUCAGACAAUAUAACGGAGGAAGUAAUCCCAUCUGGAACUUUUUUAAACCAAAUGCGCAUCUUCUAUAUAUCUUCUUUCUUUUGACUUAACCUCAACUUUCCUAUAUACAGUAUGAACAAC